AAAGUAAAACCAACAAUAAACUUGUCCUGAGUAUGUCUGCCAUGGGUGAAUAUCACAUGUGCCUGAAUCAUGCCAUUCUUUUGUUUGUUCAUUAUUUUGUAGUUCCUUUAAUCCUUCCACUUGUUAUUAUCUGCAGGAACUAACAAUUUGCAGAAGCAAAGGCCAAAGCAAAAUUGAAUGGUGCACAUGACUUCAAAAAGGGAGAAGGCAGACAUGUUUAAGUGAGCCAAUUUUAAAGAAACGAAGCGUCUGGCAUGUCAAAGGCAUACUGUCUUCCAUGGGACUUCUUUUGUGAGCAGCUUUCAUUUAAAAAACUUUAAUGAGUUUGCUUCAACCACGUUCCCAAAGAAUAUACUUUUCUUCUGAUCUGCUGACUGCUUUAAGAGUCUGAUGAUCUCCAGGUGGACCCUCCACUCAGCCAUCAAAGUAUUCUUGCUCCCCAGGAUGCUUGUAACUCAAUGGUAGAUGCAAGUGGAGUUGAGAACGUCACCCAGUAUCCCCAGGAGCUUCCACAGAUGAUGGCUGCAGCAGCUGAUGGUUUGGGGAGUAUAGCAAUAGACACAACCCAGCUCAACAUGUCCGUGACAGAUUCCACAGCCUGGGCCACCGCCAUGAACAACUUGGGCAUGGUUCCUGUGGGGUUGCCUGGACAGCAGCUUGUGUCCGACUCAAUCUGUGUCCCAGGUUUUGACCCAAGCCUCAACAUGAUGACUGGAAUCACCCCUAUUAACCCAAUGAUACCAGGCCUGGGGCUGGUACCACCCCCACCACCAACUGAAGUGGCUGUUGUUAAAGAAAUAAUUCACUGCAAAAGUUGUACUCUUUUUCCUCAAAAUCCAAAUCUUCCACCUCCUUCCACCAGAGAACGACCUCCUGGGUGUAAGACUGUGUUUGUCGGAGGAUUACCAGAAAAUGCUACCGAGGAAAUUAUUCAAGAAGUCUUUGAGCAGUGUGGUGAUAUUACAGCGAUCCGAAAGAGCAAGAAGAAUUUUUGUCACAUUCGCUUUGCAGAGGAAUUCAUGGUUGAUAAAGCCAUUUACCUUUCUGGUUACCGGAUGCGAUUAGGGUCUAGCACAGACAAAAAGGAUUCAGGUCGCCUUCACGUAGACUUUGCCCAGGCCCGAGAUGACUUCUACGAGUGGGAAUGCAAGCAGAGGAUGCGCGCCCGUGAGGAGCGGCACAGGCGAAAGCUGGAGGAGGACCGGCUCCGACCGCCCUCCCCGCCCGCCAUCAUGCACUACUCAGAGCAUGAGGCUUCCCUGCUGGCCGAAAAGCUGAAAGAUGAUAGCAAGUUUUCUGAGGCAAUCACAGUGCUGCUUUCCUGGAUUGAACGAGGGGAAGUGAAUCGGCGUUCUGCAAACCAGUUCUAUUCCAUGGUGCAGUCAGCCAACAGCCACGUCCGCAGGCUAAUGAAUGAAAAAGCCACCCAUGAGCAAGAAAUGGAGGAAGCCAAGGAGAAUUUUAAAAAUGCCUUAACUGGAAUCCUCACUCAAUUUGAGCAGAUUGUGGCCGUUUUCAACGCUUCUACCAGACAAAAAGCUUGGGACCAUUUCUCGAAAGCUCAGCGCAAGAACAUAGACAUUUGGCGAAAGCAUUCUGAGGAGCUCCGUAACGCUCAAAGUGAGCAGCUCAUGGGCAUCCGCCGCGAAGAAGAAAUGGAAAUGUCUGAUGAUGAGAAUUGUGACAGUCCUACUAAAAAAAUGAGAGUCGAUGAAUCAGCUCUGGCUGCUCAGGCCUAUGCUCUUAAAGAAGAGAAUGACAGUCUCCGCUGGCAACUGGAUGCCUACAGGAAUGAGGUGGAGUUGCUGAAGCAGGAAAAAGAACAGCUUUUCAGAACAGAAGAAAACCUCACCAAGGACCAGCAACUCCAGUUCCUGCAGCAAACCAUGCAAGGCAUGCAGCAGCAAUUGCUGACCAUCCAAGAGGAGUUAAACAACAAAAAGUCAGAACUGGAACAAGCAAAGGAAGAGCAGUCCCACACACAAGCAUUACUGAAAGUCCUGCAGGAACAAUUAAAAGGUACCAAGGAAUUGGUUGAGACCAACGGCCACAACCAUGAGGAUGCAAAUGAAAUCAAUGUGUUGACAGUUGCAUUGGUCAACCAAGACCGAGAGAACAAUAUUGAAAAAAGAAGCCAAGGCUUAAAAUCAGAGAAAGAAGCUCUGCUAAUCGGCAUCAUAUCCACAUUCCUUCACGUCCAUCCUUUCGGAGCCAAUAUAGAAUAUCUUUGGUCUUACAUGCAGCAGCUGGACUCCAAGAUAUCUGCCAACGAGAUUGAAAUGCUUUUGAUGAGGCUGCCGCGAAUGUUCAAGCAAGAAUUUACAGGUGUGGGAGCAACGCUGGAAAAGAGAUGGAAGUUGUGUGCCUUUGAAGGAAUUAAAACUACCUAACUGUGAAGAACAAGAAACCUCUGGAAUUGAAACAGUCUGAACCCAGCUAGGGCUAUGCAGUGUGAGAGGAGGGUUGGGGCUGUCCAAUGCAGGACCUGUGCAGAGCCAUCAAAGCCUGACUUCAGUUACAUCUGUGGUGUUCUCUCGUGAGUGGACAUGUAAUUGUGUACCAGUUCCUUAAACUAAACAAAGCUUCAUACUGUGACAGAUCUGUUUCCUAUGAAAACCAGACAAUGAUUCCACGGUCAUAAUAAUGGCAAAAUCUUAAAAUAGGUUACAUUUUUUAAUAGCUCACCAAGCAAAAUAUUUAAAGUUAAUGAUGGUGUAGCGAUGGUGGUUGCUAGGCUACAGAGUUGUGUAUGUAAUGUAUAGCUGAAAUCAUUAAGUGACAUUUUCCGGAAAAGUCUUUCUGUUUAAGUUAAAAAAAUCAACAAAAGUAAUUUUACAGUGAGGAAUAAUACCAAAAGAAAACUUGAAUAUGUGUCUGAACAGUUAUUGUAUUUUAUAAAUUAAGUUAUAUGCUGUUCCAGGGACUUUUGCCUUUUUUGAAGAGGCAGAAACUAUGAUUGGACUCCUUGAGAAUGCUUUAUCAAGAAUAUUAUUUUUCUAAUGUAACAAUUCUCCAUCAUAAGUUCUUUUAACAUGGACUGCAUAACAAUUUUCAUAAGAUGUAAAUAAAGGAAAACUAGUGCUACUGUCUUGUACUUGGUAUGUAACAUUCAGGUUUCUGCAUCAAAAUAAACAUUCAGCAAAUAUUCCUGUUACAAAUUUUAUAGAAAAGAUAUUAAUGUUUUUCAAUAAAUAUGACUUCUACCAUAUUGAUUUGCAAAUUAUUUGAUAUAUUUUAGUUAUUAAGAAAUCUUGUUCUCAUUGUUUAGUCACCUC
rnacentral:lncRNA from 1 species